AAUGUAGCUCAGUGGUAGAGCACUUGCCUAGAGUACAUGAGGCCCUGAGUUCAUUCCCCAGCGUU
rnacentral:tRNA from 1 species